rnacentral:rRNA from 1 species
UGAGGAAUAUUGGUCAAUGGACGCAAGUCUGAACCAGCCAAGUAGCGUGCAGGAUGACGGCCCUAUGGGUUGUAAACUGCUUUUAUAUGGGGAUAAAGUGGGGAACGUGUACCCUUUUGCAGGUACCAUAUGAAUAAGGACCGGCUAAUUCCGUGCCAGCAGCCGCGGUAAUACGGAAGGUUCGGGCGUUAUCCGGAUUUAUUGGGUUUAAAGGGAGCGUAGGCCGUUUGGUAAGCGUGUUGUGAAAUGUAGGAGCUCAACUUCUAGAUUGCAGCGCGAACUGUCAGACUUGAGUGCGCACAACGUAGGCGGAAUUCAUGGUGUAGCGGUGAAAUGCUUAGAUAUCAUGAAGAACUCCGAUUGCGAAGGCAGCUUACGGGAGCGCAACUGACGCUGAAGCUCGAAGGUGCGGGUAUCGAACAGG